ACCGGUGAUUGUCACAUUCCGAUACGGUCAUUUUGGUCGGUUCGGACACGUACACAGACAGCCGAGCAAAAAAGUCUCUCCUAUCCGCCUAAGGUGUAAACAAAACAAGUAUAUUAAAUUUCGCUAAGAAAAAAUAACAUAAUACAAUUCUGCACGAGGAUAUAUCACAGGAGUGAGAAUUUAAACCUAGCCAUUACAAUAUUUGAACAUACAC
rnacentral:lncRNA from 1 species